GCGGGGAUAGCUCAGUUGGUAGAGCACGACCUUGCCAAGGUCGGGGUCGCGAGUUCGAGUCUCGUUUCCCGCUCCA
rnacentral:tRNA from 3 species